UGGCUCAGAACGAACGCUGGCGGCGCGUUUAAGCAUGCAAGUCGAGCGGCAAGGGCCUUCGGGCCCUAGAGCGGCGGACGGGUGAGUAACACGUGGACAAUCUGCCCCCCGGCCCGGGAUAGCCCAGGGAAACCUGGAUUAAUACCGGAUGAGACGGGACCCGCGAUGGCGGGACCCGGGAAAGGCGCUGCGGCGCCGCCGGGGGAUGAGUCUGCGUCCCAUUAGCUAGACGGCGGGGUAACGGCCCACCGUGGCGACGAUGGGUAGCCGGCCUGAGAGGGUGGACGGCCACAUUGGAACUGAGACACGGUCCAGACUCCUACGGGAGGCAGCAGCUAAGAAUCUUCCGCAAUGGGCGAAAGCCUGACGGAGCGGAACCGCCGCGUGAACGAAGAAGGCCGUGAGGUUGUAAAGUUCUUUUCGGGAGGGGGAACAACCGUGGCAGGGAAUGGCCGCGGGAUGACGUGAAUCCCGGAAUAAGCCCCGGCUAACUACGUGCCAGCAGCCGC
rnacentral:rRNA from 1 species